AUUGAACGCUGGCGGCAUGCUUUACACAUGCAAGUCGAACGGUAACAGGCCUUCGGGUGCUGACGAGUGGCGAACGGGUGAGUAAUGCAUCGGAACGUACCCAGAGGUGGGGGAUAACGCAGCGAAAGCUGUGCUAAUACUGCAUGUGAUCUGAGGAUGAAAGCGGGGGACCGAGCAGCAAUGUUUGGCCUCGCGCCUUUGGAGCGGCCGAUGUCGGAUUAGCUAGUUGGUGGGGUAAAGGCCUACCAAGGCGUCGAUCCGUAGCUGGUCUGAGAGGACGACCAGCCACACUGGGACUGAGACACGGCCCAGACUCCUACGGGAGGCAGCAGUGGGGAAUUUUGGACAAUGGGCGCAAGCCUGAUCCAGCAAUGCCGCGUGCGGGAAGAAGGCCUUCGGGUUGUAAACCGCUUUUGGCAGGAACGAAACGGUGUCCGCUAAUACCGGGCGCUAAUGACGGUACCUGCAGAAUAAGCACCGGCUAACUACGUG
rnacentral:rRNA from 1 species